UACGAAGGGAGCUAGCGUUGUUCGGAAUCACUGGGCGUAAAGCGCACGUAGGCGGAUGUGUCAGUCAGGGGUGAAAUCCCGGAGCUCAACUUCGGAACUGCCUUUGAUACAGCACGUCUUGAGUCCGAUAGAGGUGGGUGGAAUUCCUAGUGUAGAGGUGAAAUUCGUAGAUAUUAGGAAGAACACCGGUGGCGAAGGCGGCCCACUGGAUCGGUACUGACGCUGAGGCGCGAAAGCGUGGGGAGCGAACAGG
rnacentral:rRNA from 1 species